rnacentral:rRNA from 1 species
AGCGGCAGACGGGUGAGUAAUACAUAGGUAAUCUACCUUCGAGCUUGGGAUAACCCCGCGAAAGUGGGGCUAAUACCGGAUAAGACCACGUGGCUUAAGUUACGUGGUAGAAGGUGGCUUGUAUUUAUACUGGCUAUCACUUGAGGAUGAGCCUAUGGCCUAUCAGCUUGUUGGCGGGGUAAAAGCCCACCAAGGCUAUGACGGGUAGUUGGUCUGAGAGGACGACCAACCACACUGGGACUGAGACACGGCCCAGACUCCUACGGGAGGCAGCAGUGGGGAAUAUUGGGCAAUGGGCGAAAGCCUGACCCAGCGACGCCGCGUGGGUGAUGAAGGCCUUCGGGUUGUAAAGCCCUGUCAUGCGGAAAGAACAGUCUUACGGUUAAUACCCGUGGGAUUUGACGGUACCGCAGGAGGAAGCACCGGCUAACUCCGUGCCAGCAGCCGCGGUAAUACGGAGGGUGCAAGCGUUGUUCGGAAUUAUUGGGCGUAAAGGGCGCGUAGGCGGUAAUGAAAGUCAGAUGUGAAAUACUUCGGCUCAACUGAAGAACUGCAUCUGAAACUUCAUAACUAGAGUACGGAAGAGGGAAAUGGAAUUCCCGGUGUAGAGGUGAAAUUCGUAGAUAUCGGGAGGAACACCAGUGGCGAAGGCGAUUUCCUGGUCUGGUACUGACGCUGAGGCGCGAAAGUGUGGGGAGCAAACAGGAUUAGAUAUCCUGGUAGUCCACACUGUAAACGGUGAACACUAGGUGUGGGAGGUGUAAUACCUUCUGUGCCGCAGCUAACGCGAUAA